GGGGAAAUAGCUCAAUGGUAAAGCACUUGCCUAGCAUGUGCAAGACCCUGGGUUCAAUCCCCAGUACCA
rnacentral:tRNA from 1 species